rnacentral:rRNA from 1 species
AGAGUUUGAUCCUGGCUCAGGACGAACGCUGGCGGCGUGCUUAACACAUGCAAGUCGAACGGUGAAGCGCCUUCCUUUUGGUGGGUGUGGAUGAGUGGCGAACGGGUGAGUAACACGUGAGUAACCUGCCCCCUUCUUCUGGAUAACCGCAUGAAAGUGUGGCUAAUACGGGAUAUUCUGGGUCUGUCGCAUGGUGGGCCUGGGAAAGAUGCGCCUUUGGGUGUUUUUGGUGGGGGAUGGGCUCGCGGCCUAUCAGCUUGUUGGUGGGGUGAUGGCCUACCAAGGCGGUGACGGGUAGCCGGCCUGAGAGGGUGGACGGUCACACUGGGACUGAGACACGGCCCAGACUCCUACGGGAGGCAGCAGUGGGGAAUAUUGCACAAUGGGCGCAAGCCUGAUGCAGCGACGCCGCGUGAGGGAUGGAGGCCUUCGGGUUGUAAACCUCUUUCGCCAGUGAAGCAGGCCUGUCCCUUUUGUGGGUGGGUUGACGGUAGCUGGAUAAGAAGCGCCGGCUAACUACGUGCCAGCAGCCGCGGUAAUACGUAGGGCGCGAGCGUUGUCCGGAAUUAUUGGGCGUAAAGAGCUCGUAGGCGGCUGGUCGCGUCUGUCGUGAAAUCCUCUGGCUUAACUGGGGGCUUGCGGUGGGUACGGGCCGGCUUGAGUGCGGUAGGGGAGACUGGAACUCCUGGUGUAGCGGUGGAAUGCGCAGAUAUCAGGAAGAACACCGGUGGCGAAGGCGGGUCUCUGGGCCGUUACUGACGCUGAGGAGCGAAAGCGUGGGGAGCGAACAGGAUUAGAUACCCUGGUAGCCCACGCCGUAAACGUUGGGCACUAGGUGUGGGGGGCCUUUUCCGGGUCUUCCGCGCCGUAGCUAACGCAUUAAGUGCCCCGCCUGGGGAGUACGGCCGCAAGGCUAAAACUCAAAGGAAUUGACGGGGGCCCGCACAAGCGGCGGAGCAUGCGGAUUAAUUCGAUGCAACGCGAAGAACCUUACCAAGGCUUGACAUGUGCCGGUCGGCUCCGGAGACGGGGUUUCCUCCUUGUGGGGCCGGUUCACAGGUGGUGCAUGGUUGUCGUCAGCUCGUGUCGUGAGAUGUUGGGUUAAGUCCCGCAACGAGCGCAACCCUUGUCCCGUGUUGCCAGCACGUUGUGGUGGGGACUCGCGGGAGACUGCCGGGGUCAACUCGGAGGAAGGUGGGGAUGACGUCAAAUCAUCAUGCCCCUUAUGUCUUGGGCUUCACGCAUGCUACAAUGGCCGGUACAGAGGGCUGCGAUACCGUGAGGUGGAGCGAAUCCCUUAAAGCCGGUCUCAGUUCGGAUCGGUGUCUGCAACUCGACACCGUGAAGUUGGAGUCGCUAGUAAUCGCAGAUCAGCAACGCUGCGGUGAAUACGUUCUCGGGCCUUGUACACACCGCCCGUC